rnacentral:piRNA from 1 species
UCGUUUUGGUGACUCCUCUU